rnacentral:rRNA from 1 species
GACGAACGCUGGCGGCGUGCUUAACACAUGCAAGUCGAACGAUGAAGAAAAGAAUUGAAGCUUCGGCAGAAAUUCAUUUCGGAUUAGUGGCAGACGGGUGAGUAACUCGUGAGCAACCUACCUCUUACAAAGGGAUAGCCUCGGGAAACCGGGAUUAAUACCAUAUAACAUUGCGACGAAGCAUUUCGAUGCAAUCAAAGCUACGGCGGUAAGAGAUGGGCUCGCGUCCCAUUAACCAGAUGGUGAGGUAACGGCUCACCAUAGUAACGAUGGGUAACCGGCCUGAGAGGGUGAACGGUCACACUGGAACUGAGACACGGUCCAGACUCCUACGGGAGGCAGCAGUGGGGAAUAGUGCACAAUGGAGGGAACUCUGAUGCAGCGACGCCGCGUGAGUGAUGAAGGAAUUCGUUUCGUAAAACUCUGUUCUAUGGGAAGAAAAGGACUGUACCAUAGGAGAAAGCUCCGGCUAAAUACGUG